CCUCACCAGCUCUCGACAUUCAAUGAUCGCGGGGGGAGACCUGGGAAUCCCAACAAUCGGCAGUGCGACAGGUGCAGCAUGGCUGUCAUCAGCUGGUGUCGUGAGAUGGUGGGAUAAGUCCCGCAACGACCGCACCCCUUUCCAUUAGUCGCCAUCAAUCAGUUGGCCAUUUUAGUGGGACUCCCGGUGAUAAGCCGGAGGAAGGUGGGGAGGACGUCAAGUCAUCAUGGUCCUUACGGGAUGGCCUACACACGUGCUACAAUGGCGGUGACAAUGCGCAGCCACCUAGCAAUAGGGAGCUAAUCGCAAAAAGCCGUCUCAGUUCAGAUUGGAGUCUGCAACUCGACUCCAUGAAGUCGGAAUCGCUAGUAAUCGCGCAUCAGCAUGGCGCGGUGAAUACGUUCCCGGGUCUUGUACACACCG
rnacentral:rRNA from 1 species